GAUUAAGAACGUAGCGAAAUGCGAUACUUGGUGUGAAUUGCAGAAUCCCGUGAACCAUCGAGUCUUUGAACGCAAGUUGCGCCCGAAGCCUCGGCUAAGGGCACGUCUGCCUGGGCGUCACGCAUCGCGUCUCCCCCAAACCGCCAAGGCGGAGGGGAAGGAAGAUGGCUUCCCGUGCCUCACCCGGCGCGGUUGGCCUAAAUUUGGAGCCCGCGGCACUUAGCUCUCGCGGCGAUAGGUGGUGAACAAGGCCUUGGCCGUGCAAACAACCCGCUGCGAAGCUCUAUGUCACGUGCGCUCGUCGGACCCUUUGAAGUUGCCUUCGGUGACUUAAAACCUUUGCGACCCCAGGUCAGGCGGGGCUACCCGCUGAAUUUAAGCAUAUCAAUAAGCGGAGGA
rnacentral:misc_RNA from 1 species